GAUGAACGCUGGCGGCGUGCCUAAUACAUGCAAGUCGAGCGAACAGACGAGGAGCUUGCUCCUCUGACGUUAGCGGCGGACGGGUGAGUAACACGUGGAUAACCUACCUAUAAGACUGGGAUAACUUCGGGAAACCGGAGCUAAUACCGGAUAAUAUAUUGAACCGCAUGGUUCAAUAGUGAAAGACGGUUUUGCUGUCACUUAUAGAUGGAUCCGCGCCGCCUUAGCUAGUUGGUAAGGUAACGGCUUACCAAGGCAACGAUGCGUAGCCGACCUGAGAGGGUGAUCGGCCACACUGGAACUGAGACACGGUCCAGACUCCUACGGGAGGCAGCAGUAGGGAAUCUUCCGCAAUGGGCGAAAGCUUGACGGAGCAACGCCGCGUGAGUGAUGAAGGUCUUCGGAUCGUAAAACUCUGUUAUUAGGGAAGAACAAAUGUGUAAGUAACUAUGCACGUCUUGACGGUACCUAAUCAGAAAGCCACGGCUAACUACGUG
rnacentral:rRNA from 1 species